rnacentral:rRNA from 1 species
UACGGGGGGGGCAAGCGUUGUUCGGAAUUACUGGGCGUAAAGCGCACGCAGGCGGUCUGUCAAGUCGGAUGUGAAAUCCCCGGGCUCAACCUGGGAACUGCAUUCGAAACUGGCAGGCUAGAGUCUUGUAGAGGGGGGUAGAAUUCCAGGUGUAGCGGUGAAAUGCGUAGAGAUCUGGAGGAAUACCGGUGGCGAAGGCGGCCCCCUGGACAAAGACUGACGCUCAGGUGCGAAAGCGUGGGGAGCAACAGGG